AGAGCUUGCUCUUAUGACGUUAGCGGCGGACGGGUGAGUAACACGUGGGUAACCUGCCCAUAAGACUGGGAUAACUCCGGGAAACCGGGGCUAAUACCGGAUAACAUUUUGAACCGCAUGGUUCGAAAUUGAAAGGCGGCUUCGGCUGUCACUUAUGGAUGGACCCGCGUCGCAUUAGCUAGUUGGUGAGGUAACGGCUCACCAAGGCAACGAUGCGUAGCCGACCUGAGAGGGUGAUCGGCCACACUGGGACUGAGACACGGCCCAGACUCCUACGGGAGGCAGCAGUAGGGAAUCUUCCGCAAUGGACGAAAGUCUGACGGAGCAACGCCGCGUGAGUGAUGAAGGCUUUCGGGUCGUAAAACUCUGUUGUUAGGGAAGAACAAGUGCUAGUUGAAUAAGCUGGCACCUUGACGGUACCUAACCAGAAAGCCACGGCUAACUACGUGCCACCACCCGCGGUAAUACGUAGGUGGCAAGCGUUAUCCGGAAUUAUUGGGCGUAAAGCGCGCGCAGGUGGUUUCUUAAGUCUGAUGUGAAAGCCCACGGCUCAACCGUGGAGGGUCAUUGGAAACUGGGAGACUUGAGUGCAAAAAAGGAAAGUGGAAUUCCAUGUGUAGCGGUGAAAUGCGUAAAGAUAUGGAGGAACACCAUUGGCGAAGGCAACUUUCUGGUCUGUAACUGACACUGAGGCGCGAAAGCGUGGGGAGCAAACAGAAUUAGAUACCCUGGUAGUCCACGCCGUAAACGAUGAGUGCUAAGUGUUAGAGGGUUUCCGCCCUUUAGUGCUGAAGUUAACGCAUUAAGCACUCCGCCUGGGGAGUACGGCCGCAAGGCUGAAACUCAAAGGAAUUGACGGGGGCCCGCACAAGCGGUUGUAGCAUGUGUUUACUUCGAAGC
rnacentral:rRNA from 1 species